rnacentral:lncRNA from 1 species
GGUCAGGGCGGGAGUCGGAGAGCGCGCCCGGCGCAGCAGCGAGACGUGUGUCUGUGGAUUUCGGGCUGCGAUGGCGAGUAGGGAGCUAUGUCUCCUACUUGUGCUGGAAGCCGUUUCUCGCGCUCAUUCUCUGUAACUGGAGGAGGAGGGGUGGCCUUUAGGGUUCGCCUUGAUCGGAGGGGUCCGGUUCCCGCGCUCCCGCCCGGGCCGCAUAAUCUCGCCCAGCACCUUUUCUUCCUUCUUGGUUAUGGCUUGACGAACCCUUAAGGACUCGUCGGCCAACGUUGUGGCACAUUCCUGAAAAGGACGAGGACCCUUUACCCGAGGGGAGUAAAGACAGUACUUGGAAGAUGACGGGUCUAGUCAUCCUUGCACAAGGAAAGCCUUCUGCGCGCUUUGGCGUCUGUACAUGUUGGGACUCCUCAGGCACUGAAAUACUGAAGUCCAGCUCAUUCUCAGUCUCUUGAAAACUGUGUUCACUGUUGGACAGUACUGGCACAGAGUGAAGCCAGACUUCCCGUCCUGCCAGCCUCACCCCUUCAGCAGCCGGUACGAGCAACAGCAGGGCGGUUACCCUCCUGGCUACAGCUCUGGCCGAGGGGCGGGUGGAAAUGGACCCAACCUUUAUUCUGCAUGUGAGACCUCUGGACACCCCUCUGAGACUUCGCUUCCACCCAAGGAAACCACGUCUCUAGCUGAAAACCAAGUUGAAGAUUCACUAGAAGAUCCAAAUCUCCACUUGAAUAUUGAGGAACUCAACAAAGAAUUUAUGGUGAAAAGUGAAGAGCUCUACCAAUCUCUCAUGAAUAGCCACUGGCAGCCUCUCGAUACGGUAUACUCAGAAAUCCCAGACAAGACCCCCCAAGAGCAAGAUGCUGAUUAAGCUACCAAUUAUCAUAUUCAUUGUGUCUUAUUUUGUUUUUGUUUAAAAAGUUCUCGCAGAAAGGCACUGGAUUGUGUGUAUAAAUACAGAUUCUUGAGGGAGUGUCAUGUAAAUAAACGUUGCCAGCACGUUCAAAAAAAAAAAAAA